CUCUAAUCUGCCAUUUUCUGUCCCUGAGUAAGUCUCUGGCGUCCCAAAUUGCCUGUUUUUCUCGCAGGCUCUAUUCCGUUCGCUGGUUCACCACCUCAGGGGAACGAUGGCCACGGAGUCCACAGCCACUGCCGCCGUCGCCACGGAGCUGGUUUCUGCCGACAAAAUUGAAGAUGUUCCUGCUCCUUCUACAUCUGCAGAUAAAGUAGAGAGUCUGGAUGUGGAUAGUGAAGCUAAGAAACUAUUGGGUUUAGGACAGAAACAUCUGGUGAUGGGGGAUAUUCCAGCAGCUGUCAAUGCAUUCCAGGAAGCAGCUAGUCUUUUAGGUAAGAAGUAUGGAGAGACAGCUAAUGAGUGUGGAGAAGCCUUCUUUUUCUAUGGGAAAUCACUUCUGGAAUUGGCAAGAAUGGAGAAUGGUGUGUUGGGAAACGCCUUGGAAGGUGUGCAUGUGGAAGAGGAAGAAGGAGAAAAAACAGAAGAUGAAUCUCUGGUAGAAAAUAAUGAUAACAUAGAUGGUAUGUGGAGUUGCAUGUGACAUUCAAGAGAUGCGACGUUGUAUAUUUCUUGUAUACAGUGGUGGAAACAGGGCUCUACCUGUCCUGGA
rnacentral:sRNA from 1 species